rnacentral:rRNA from 1 species
CCAAGAAAAGCGUCUAGAGAGAGAAGUAGUGCCCGUACCGCAAACCGACACAGGUAGGUGAGGAGAGAAUCCUAAGGCCGGCGGAAGAAUUACAGUUAAGGAACUCGGCAAAUUGACCCCGUAAGUUCGCGAGAAGGGGUGCCUACGAGAGUAGGCCGCAGAGAAUAGGCCCAAGCAACUGUUUAGCAAAAACACAGGUCUCUGCUAAAGCGUAAGCUGAUGUAUAGGGGCUGACGCCUGCCCGGUGCUGGAAGGUUAAGGGGAACACUUAGCGCAAGCGAAGGUGUGAACUUAAGCCCCAGUAAACGGCGGCCGUAACUAUAACGGUCCUAAGGUAGCGAAAUUCCUUGUCAGGUAAGUUCUGACCCGCACGAAUGGCGUAAUGACUUGGGCACUGUCUCAACUGUAAAUCCGGCGAAGUUGUAGUGCGAGUGAAGAUGCUCGCUACCCGCGAUUGGACGGAAAGACCCCGUAGAGCUUUACUGUAGCUUAGCAUUGAGUUUUGGUAUUGUCUGUACAGGAUAGGUGGGAGACUAGGAAACCAGGGCGUCAGCCUUGGUGGAGUCAACCUUGGGAUACCACCCUGACAGUACUGAAAUUCUAACUGGCGGCCAUGAAUCUGGUCACAGGACAUUGUUAGGUGGGCAGUUUGACUGGGGCGGUCGCCUCCUAAAAAGUAACGGAGGCGCCCAAAGGUUCCCUCAGAACGGUCGGAAAUCGUUCGAAGAGUGCAAAGGCAGAAGGGAGCCUGACUGCGACACCCACAAGUGGAGCAGGGACGAAAGUCGGGCUUAGUGAUCCGGUGGUACCUCGUGGGAGGGCCAUCGCUCAACGGAUAAAAGCUACCUCGGGGAUAACAGGCUGAUCUCCCCCAAGAGUCCACAUCGACGGGGAGGUUUGGCACCUCGAUGUCGGCUCGUCGCAUCCUGGGGCUGAAGUAGGUCCCAAGGGUUGGGCUGUUCGCCCAUUAAAGCGGCACGCGAGCUGGGUUCAGAACGUCGUGAGACAGUUCGGUCCCUAUCCGUCGCGGGCGUAGGAAAUUUGAGAGGAGCUGUCCUUAGUACGAGAGGACCGGGAUGGACUGACCUCUGGUGUACCAGUUGUUCCGCCAGGAGCACAGCUGGGUAGCUAAGUCGGGAAUGGAUAAACGCUGAAAGCAUCUAAGCGUGAAGCCAACCUCAAGAUGAGAUUUCCCAUAGCGUAAGCUAGUAAGAUCCCUUGAAGAACACAAGGUUGAUAGGUCGGGGGUGUAAGCAUGGUAACAUGUUCAGCUGACCGAUACUAAUAGAUCGAGGGCUUGACCAAAU